rnacentral:rRNA from 1 species
UACGUAGGGGGCGAGCGUUGUCCGGAAUCAUUGGGCGUAAAGAGCGUGUAGGCGGUCCGGUAAGUCAGCUGUGAAAGUCAAGGGCUCAACCCUUGAAAGCCGGUUGAUACUGUCGGGCUAGAGUCCGGAAGAGGCGAGUGGAAUUCCCGGUGUAGCGGUGAAAUGCGCAGAUAUCGGGAGGAACACCAAUGGCGAAGGCAGCUCGCUGGGACGGUACUGACGCUGAGACGCGAAAGCGUGGGGAGCAAACAGG